UUCUCUUUUCCUUCUCACGGUGCUGAAGUAGGAGCUCUGCUAGGGCACAACUGGUUUUUCCCUCAAAGAGAAUUGAACCCACCUCCACCUUCUUAAAGCUGCUUUUGGUCUUGGAACUCCUCCUGCUACUUGUUUUCUUUCCCCUAAGCUCAACUUUACUCAAGUGUAGGUCAAUAGUGUCUAACUCACACAAAGUGGACAUUUAAGUAGUGUCGAGUCGAAGGAGUUUCACGCAAAUUAUCGAAGAAUUAAAAAUGAUGCACUUGAGCCCCAAAAUUCACGGUUGAGCUUCAGUAAGGUAGUAAAAGAAGGAUCCAAAACAUGACUUUUGGAGCUAAGCCACCACAAAAUGGUGCUUAGCACUUAAGGCGGUACCUGACUGAGUCACGAGAGAUGUGUUCAACACGUAAGGCGGUGCAUGACUGAGCCAUAAGAAAAUGUGCUCAACACUUAAGGCGGUGCAUGAAUGAGCCAUGAAAGAAUGAGAUCGACACUUAAGGCGAUGCAUGACUGAGCCACAAGAGAAUGUGCUCAACACUUAAGGCGGUGCAUGACUGAGCGCCAAAAGUUGGGCUAAGCACUGCCCAAAAAUUUCUAUAAAUAAAGACCUUGGGUCUUCAUUCUAGGCACUGAGUGGAGGCUCCACAAUGUAGCAAUAGGAUAGAAUAGGUUCUGUGAGGCAUGAAGGAGGUGCUCUUAGAGUAGAUCUUAUGUGAAAAUGCUAUU